rnacentral:tRNA from 1 species
GGUUAUGGCUCAGUGGUAGAGUGCUUGCCUAGCAUGUGCGAGGCCCUGGGUUCAAUCCUCAGCACCA